CGCUGGCGGCGUGCUUAACACAUGCAAGUCGAACGAUGAUCCCAGCUUGCUGGGGGAUUAGUGGCGAACGGGUGAGUAACACGUGAGUAACCUGCCCUUGACUCUGGGAUAAGCCUGGGAAACUGGGUCUAAUACCGGAUACGACCAUCUGGCGCAUGUCAUGGUGGUGGAAAGCUUUUGUGGUUUUGGAUGGACUCGCGGCCUAUCAGCUUGUUGGUGGGGUAAUGGCCUACCAAGGCGACGACGGGUAGCCGGCCUGAGAGGGUGACCGGCCACACUGGGACUGAGACACGGCCCAGACUCCUACGGGAGGCAGCAGUGGGGAAUAUUGCACAAUGGGCGCAAGCCUGAUGCAGCGACGCCGCGUGAGGGAUGACGGCCUUCGGGUUGUAAACCUCUUUCAGUAGGGAAGAAGCGAAAGUGACGGUACCUGCAGAAGAAGCGCCGGCUAACUACGUGCCAGCAGCCGCGGUAAUACGUAGGGCGCAAGCGUUAUCCGGAAUUAUUGGGCGUAAAGAGCUCGUAGGCGGUUUGUCGCGUCUGCUGUGAAAGACCGGGGCUCAACUCCGGUUCUGCAGUGGGUACGGGCAGACUAGAGUGCAGUAGGGGAGACUGGAAUUCCUGGUGUAGCGGUGAAAUGCGCAGAUAUCAGGAGGAACACCGAUGGCGAAGGCAGGUCUCUGGGCUGUAACUGACGCUGAGGAGCGAAAGCAUGGGGAGCGAACAGGAUUAGAUACCCUGGUAGUCCAUGCCGUAAACGUUGGGCACUAGGUGUGGGGGACAUUCCACGUUUUCCGCGCCGUAGCUAACGCAUUAAGUGCCCCGCCUGGGGAGUACGGCCGCAAGGCUAAAACUCAAAGGAAUUGACGGGGGCCCGCACAAGCGGCGGAGCAUGCGGAUUAAUUCGAUGCAACGCGAAGAACCUUACCAAGGCUUGACAUGAACCGGAAAGACCUGGA
rnacentral:rRNA from 1 species